rnacentral:rRNA from 1 species
GACGAACGCUGGCGGCGUGCUUAACACAUGCAAGUCGAACGAUGAACCCGGAGCUUGCUCCGGCGGAUUAGUGGCGAACGGGUGAGUAACACGUGAGUAACCUGCCCUUGACUCUGGGAUAACUGCUAGAAAUGGUAGCUAAUACCGGAUACGGCCCUCGGUGGCAUCACCAGGGGGUGGAAAGAAUUUCGGUCAAGGAUGGACUCGAGGCCUAUCAGCUAGUUGGUGAGGUAACGGCUCACCAAGGCGACGACGGGUAGCCGGCCUGAGAGGGUGACCGGCCACACUGGGACUGAGAUACGGCCCAGACUCCUACGGGAGGCAGCAGUGGGGAAUAUUGCACAAUGGGCGCAAGCCUGAUGCAGCGACGCCGCGUGAGGGAUGACGGCCUUCGGGUUGUAAACCUCUUUCAGCACCGACGAAGCGCAAGUGACGGUAGGUGCAGAAGAAGGACCGGCCAACUACGUGCCAGCAGCCGCCGUAA